GUCAAAUGAAACUCAACUGUUUGUUUAUUUGACCGUUUUCUGUAGACAGGAAAAAAGUGCACAACAAAAUGCAGGACAAAGAUGUAUUCAGCAACAAUAUGUGUACUCCUUGUAUGUUUAGAAAUGAACCAGUGACACCUGUUGGUUGGUGUAUAGUUUGUAAUGAAGGACUUUGUAAGUAUUGCAUGCACUAUCAUAGAUCAUCAAAAACUUUAAAACGACACGACAUUGUUCGUUUUAAAGACCGUCUAUCAAUACCAGUCUUUGCACAAUCUGUCCAGGAAAACUGCUCUCAACACGAAAGAAAUUUUUACUUUUUUUGUUGUGUUCAUCAAGAAUUCUAUUGCAUUAAAUGCAGCACUUUAGAUCAUAAGACAUGUGAUAGUGUUUUGCCACUCGAAGAUGUUUUAAGAAACGCAAAGUCAUCUGUAAGUUUCUGCCAUAUUGAAGAAGGCUUGAAUGUUCUACUUUCAAAAAUGGAAACUAUUUUGAAUAAAUUAGGAGAGUCCAUUGGUUUCAAUGAUACACAAGCAAGCGAAAUAAAGACUGAUGUUAAUGAAAUAAGGAUUCAGAUAUGCAAGAAAUUAGACGAAGAUAUUGGAGAAUUUCUUCGCACGUUGGACAAGUCAAAAUCGGAAAGCAAAAUAAAAGCACAUGAAACAAUACAAAGACUCAAGGAAAAACGAAAUGUAAUUCAAGACUUAAAGGCAAACGUGGCACUUUUGAGAAAAAAACGGAACAAAAUUACAAGUUUGUCUAUGUCAAAAACAUCUAGAAUCCAACUUAUCACAAGAAGAAAACAAUCUCACCACAAGCAUAGAAAAUGGUCAGUAUGACAGUCUGGAGAUAGUGUUUCAUCCUGGAGAUAUCACUAAAACUCUAAGUUUGAUGGGAAACAUUGGCGAAAUUGAAGUCAAGCAGACACCUUUAAAAGUCAACUCUGGUGGCAUGGGCCAAAGUGUAAAAGUGGUUAAAAGCUUGAAAGAAUUUACGCUAUACAGAACUGAUGAGGCUUUAAAGAAAUACUGGUCGUACUUAGCAGUUGUGGCAAGACUUUGUCUGAUAGUAGUUUUUCUGCUUGAUUGUAUAGUAAGCUUUGAACAAUUUCUUGUGAGCUAUCACGGGGUGAAAACUUUACUAACAGUUUCUAUUUUUGGACAAAUAGCGGGAUGUGUUAUGGUUCUUCUACGACGAAAGAUUAAAGUUGGGUGUGCGAUUAUUUUAUUGAUAAAAAUAUCACAGAUAUUCUUUCUUCCAAGAGAGCCCCGAACAACUGCUACCAGGGCAAUUUCUUUGUGUGGAAUUGUAUUGAUGGCAUAUGCAGAUGACACAGGAGAGAAGAGUUUGUUUGCUAGUACGUCAUCCUUAUUAUCCGAGGUAAACUGGAAAGCAAAAUUUACUGGAAAGAUUCUGUUACUUUUGAUGUAUUUUCCACUUUUUUUUGAAAAUAUAAACUCAUCCAGUUGGAUUCGACUAUCACUUGGUCUGUGUCUCAUUGUGAUUAACAUAGUUGGCUACAGGAUCAGUAUUUCCGCAGUUCUAAUAAUAGUGUGGUUAAUGUUUGGAAAUUUUCCCUUUACUCAAAAAGCUUACUAUCGCGAAAUUUGGUACGAAGAUCCUAGUUUUUUCUUUUUAAUUAACACACUAUUGAUCACAGGCGGAUUUUUAUUGAUGCUAGCCUAUGGUUCCGAAAAUACCGACUUAAAAAAGAAAUCAUAGAUUUAAAGUCAUAUGAAACGAGUUUCUUGAAAUUUUAAUGUUAUCGAAAUUUUUGAACCAUUGCAUGCAUAUAUACUACACUAAGUCUUUAUAUUUAUUACACAUCUAUAACGUAUUAUUGACAAAUAAUAUUUCAUUCGGUAGUGGUUAUUGAUUGCAAGCUACUAGUAAUUAACUUUCGAGUUUGUUGCCGAAGUUUACCGUAUCGUGACAUUGAUCAACAAUAAAAACAGUUCACAUAGAAAGCGUGACAGAUAAGCGAAUUGCAAGAGCCAUGGCAUUUGUUUUUAUAUCUUCCAUGUGUUCCCAUUUGUUAAUUCAAAACAGACAAUUUAUGAAAUGUAUGUUAUUAAUAAAAUUAUUGUUUUUGCUUGA